GAAUCAUAGUCCUGUGGCUUCUUUCCACGCUGUUUCUGACCCAUUGGGAUCAGCAGUGGUCCAGCAUCAAGUCUCGGUUUGUAGCAGGUCUGCAGAGUGCUCCAGCCUGCAUGAGGGUGGACAGGUGUAUGUACAUGAGGGCCAUGGCAGUGGGCAGAUGUCUGGGUGUCCUGUGUUUUUCUGUCAGACUGAAUGUAAGCAGGGGGGUGGGCAGAUUUCUGUGCUUAAUUGUCCUGGCAAUGGGCAGAUAAACGGAUGCCAGGAGGAUCACUUUCAGUUUGGAAGUCAGCAGGAUUUUGUAGCGGCUGGAAAUCUGGGUU
rnacentral:misc_RNA from 1 species